CGUCAGCUCGCUCCCGUCGCUCCUCUCUCAUCUUUCCCCGUUCUUUUCUCUUCCCUCUCUUCGGUUCACCCCAUCCCUCUCGUUUUUAUACUUUCUCCACCUGAAAGCACCCAAGAUUCUCCAUCUUGACCAGUGCCAAUCAAAAUCUUGAUGUCAGCGACGGGAAUCACCAACAUCACGUUGCCCAAACGGAUCCACACUGUGCAGCCAUUUAAAUCGGCUACCAAUCUGCCGACGGAUGCCCCCUGCUUCGUUCCGGCGUGCAUCGCCAGAAUCUGGAGUCCACCUGAACGAUUUUUAUACCCAACAACGUCAAGAAUCUCAACAGAGGAACAACAGAAAUAAGGCAGCCAUCGAUUCUCUCUGUCCUCUCAACCGUGCAGUCAUUGAAUCCGGUCGCCGCCUGUUACCCACCCACCGAUGGCCAAUAUGCUCCAUCCCAGAUUUGCGGCCCGAAUAUUACCUCUCGUGUGGUGGCGAACCGUAAAUUAGUGAACAAGAAGCCUGGACGACGACAACAAAUUUUCUUGCAUUGCAGCAGAUUCUUGGAGGACUCUUUCCUUGCCAAACGCCACCCGUCGAGCAGCCGGAGACUGUGACACCACAAUAGCACGGCAGACUCUGGAAUCCGCCUUCGGAGGCGAGUGAAGCAUCUCGGACGGUCGUCUUCGGUUCUUUCCUCGGCCAGAUGAGCAGGUCCUGCUCAACCAUUUGUCAAUCAAAUGGCUAUGUCCAGCAAGAUGCAGAACACGUUAUAGAUCAACCUGAUCUUGGCGUGUUUUUUUAAUUUUGAGAUCUCCAAAACAGCAUCUCUGGUCUCGUUUCUACAGAAGGAGAGUUAGGGAUUACCUCCCGGGCUGUGCGCCUCCGAUCUCAGCCGCAGGACUUAUGGCCGGGUAGCAGUGAUGGGGGUAUGCUCCAGCCUCCAGCACGUGGCACAGCAGGGCGUCUCAAACCAGACAAGUGCCCACUGUUGGCUGGCCUUCCAGCGGCGCGUAGGCUCCAGCAGGCACCCGACCGUAACCUGCUCCUCUACCGAAUGCGUCCAGUUGCAGUCAGAAUCCUCUGUUCGCACAGAACGCAGCUAUGGACGCGCAGCAGCUAGAGUUGACUGUGCAGUUUCCUCCGCACCCGACUCGACGAACACAAACCACACGAGCAGAGGUCACAGUCCAGAAAUAAACAUGGAUUACAGUAGGCAGAGAUGAGGAUUUGGUUACCAGACUGAGGCCAAACGCAGGCUGCAGCUGCUUCCGGGCGCGGAUUCUCCUGCUACAGGACUCGGUGAGGAACUCAGAACGGUGGCGGUUUUGGACGGGAGCUGUUGCGGAACAGGACGGCACUCGCAGGGAUCACGGACUGUGCACGCCGGUGACAGGUUCAGCUUCACAGGCCCGUAUCUCCCAGCCCACAGCUCGGAUUUGAACGUGCUGGCCCGUUGGAACCGGGAGGGCGUCUCGAAUCCAUCCUGGCCGUUUUUACGUGAAAUCCACGGUGGGUUGCGUAGCUAUGGUCCGUCGAACGUGACGGUUCGGCUACUGAUCCGUGAUGGUUCGGCUACUGCAGGGAAGAAAUGCACAGCAGCGAGCUUAUGCAGAUUAGGGAACAGAUUUUACCUGUCUCCAGCGGUGAAAUGUGCUGUUUGAAUGCGCCUGGACCCUGCAUCCAGUGCUUAUGAUGGGAGUGACGACCGUAGGUGGAAAGACUGUUUUACGGAGGGCGGACGUUGGUCUAUGUCAGUCUGCAGCACAGCAAUGUCGCACACAGCAGUAGCGGCAGAGAACCACGCUGGAGUGCUCGUUGGUUGCCUAGGGAUUGCUGGCAUCGUGGUGUACCUUCGGGAGUGCAGCGAAUCUCUGCUGCUUCACGUCAGAGGGAAGGAUGGUCUGCAACUAUGCGUCGGAGAAGACUCACGCUGGAGUGGAAGAUUAUUGAAGGGGAGGAUCUCGGCUGGCCGCGGGUGGCUGCUGCUGUGCAGCUACAAACUGGUCAUUACAGGAAGAAAACGCAAGCAAAAGGACGCGUCCGACCCAAAACGCUGAAGUCUUGGAUCGGGCCUUGUGCUGAACGGAUCUGGAGCAGUGUGCCACGAACUGGUGCGCAGGUUGCAUGCUGGUCUGAGCCUAGCGUAAUCUCCUCCAACGCUGGGCUGCACCUAGCGUCCUCCUCCUUGCCGGGCGCCCAAGGCUGCAAGGGCGCUGACUGCUUCAAGGCUGGAUGGGUGCUGGAUCGUCUCCUUGCUGAGCUGAUUGCUGCAUGUUAAAAGCUCUUGUAGGCGACGGGGGAGGCUGUUGUGAAAGCCCCCUGAGCAGCUGAGCUGCACCUGUCUGCACCCGGUCAACCUCCUCUACCUCUAGGCCACGCCUGGCCGAGUCUUUGGGUGGCUAGUGGGUAGUCACGGCUGCAUCGUGCUGUGGCUGCUGGGCGUUGCUGUGGUAUGCUGAAGUUGGGGCAGACCUCAUGCUCCCGUCCGUAUCCAUGGGCGUGCAGUUGAGGUCCCCUUGGCUAGCUGCACUUUUCUUGCUUGACCCGGCCAAGCUCCUCUUGGCCAAGUCUGGCCGAGCUUUGAUUGAUGAAUCGGGUAGUCCCGGGCCCCCGGCCAUGCCUGGCCGAGGCCGUUGGGGCGUCUCUCGGCCAUCCUGGCCAUCCAGGGGUAGGGUCACAUCUAUAAGAUUUACCUAGUAAGUUAUGUUAAAUCAGAUAUAUUUUUCAUUUUUAUAGAUGUGAUUUAUCUUGGUUAGAGAUUUCUUUAAAUGUUCUUUUAUGAUAAUUUGUUAGGAGAUUUUAAUUUAUUAAAUGUUCUUUUGUGUAAUUUUGUUAGGAGGUUUUAAUUUUCAAGAGCUUACUUAAAAGUCUAUUAGACUUUUGUGAGGACUCUUGGUACUUCUAGUGAUAUCUUUUACAUCAUCUUUAAAAGAGUGUCACUCAAAUACUGGUGCCAAUUGGUUUAUAUUAACACGAAUGCAUAUUUCUAACUAGAUCUUUGAAGAAUUCAA